UACAGAGGGCUCAAGCGUUGUUCGGAUUCAUUGGGCGUAAAGGGCGCGUAGGCGGCGCGGUAAGUCGGGUGUGAAAUCUCGGAGCUUAACUCCGAAACUGCAUUCGAUACUGCCGUGCUUGAGGACUGGAGAGGAGACUGGAAUUUACGGUGUAGCGGUGAAAUGCGUAGAUAUCGUAAGGAAGACCAGUGGCGAAGGCGGGUCUCUGGACAGUUCCUGACACUGAGGCACGAAGGCCAGGGGAGCAAACGGG
rnacentral:rRNA from 1 species